UAGUCUCUCAAUGAGAUACCU
rnacentral:snRNA from 1 species